AAUCAACGCUGGCGGCGUGCCUCAGACAUGCAAGUCGAACGCGAAAGGUUCCUUCGGGAGCCGAGUAGAGUGGCGCUCGGGUGAGUAACACGUAGGUAAUUUGCCUUUGGGUGGGGAAUAACAAUCGGAAACGGUUGCUAAUACCGCAUAAUGCAGCGGCUCGACAUCGAGACAGUUGUUAAAGCGGGGGAUCCUUCGGGACCUCGCGCCUAAAGAGAAGCCUGCGGCGGAUUAGCAGUUGGUGAGGUAAUGGCUCACCAAGGCGACGAUCCGUAACCGGCCUGAGAGGGCGGACGGUCACACUGACACUUAAAUACGGGUCAGACCCCUACGGGAGGCAGCAGUCGGGAAGUUUU
rnacentral:rRNA from 1 species